AGUCGAGCGAACGGACGAGAAGCUUGCUUCUCUGAUGUUAGCGGCGGACGGGUGAGUAACACGUGGAUAACCUACCUAUAAGACUGGGAUAACUUCGGGAAACCGGAGCUAAUACCGGAUAAUAUUUUGAACCGCAUGGUUCAAAAGUGAAAGACGGUCUUGCUGUCACUUAUAGAUGGAUCCGCGCUGCAUUAGCUAGUUGGUAAGGUAACGGCUUACCAAGGCAACGAUGCAUAGCCGACCUGAGAGGGUGAUCGGCCACACUGGAACUGAGACACGGUCCAGACUCCUACGGGAGGCAGCAGUAGGGAAUCUUCCGCAAUGGGCGAAAGCCUGCACGGAGCAACGCCGGCGUGAGUGAUGAAGGUCUUCGGAUCGUAAAACUCUGUUAUUAGGGAAGAACUAUAUGUGUAAGUAACUGUGCACAUCUUGACGGUACCUAAUCAGAAAGCCACGGCUAACUACGUGCCAGCAGCCGCGGUAAUACGUAGGUGGCAAGCGUUAUCCGGAAUUAUUGGGCGUAAAGCGCGCGUAGGCGGUUUUUUAUAGUCUGUAUGUGAAAGCCCACGGCUCAACCGUGGAGGGUCAUUGGAAACUGGAAUACUUGAGUGCAGUAUAGAGGAAAGUGGAAUUCCAUGUGUAGCGGUGA
rnacentral:rRNA from 1 species